UGAGGAACAUGACCUUCGGCGGGGGAUAGCUGGCCCAACGGCCGGGUAAUACCGCGUACGACCACAUGGGGACAUCCCUGAGUGGUGAAAGCAGCAAUGCGCCGAUGGAGUGCCUCGCGGCCUAUCAGCUAGUUGGUGUGGGUAAUGGCUCACCAAGGCGACGACGGAUAACCGGCCUGAGAGGGCGACCGGCCACACUGGGACUGAGACACGGCCCAGACUCCGUAGGGAGG
rnacentral:rRNA from 1 species